rnacentral:rRNA from 1 species
UACGUAGGGUGCAAGCGUUGUCCGGAUUUAUUGGGCGUAAAGAGCUCGUAGGCGGUCUGUCGCGUCGGAUGUGAAAACCCAGGGCUCAACCCUGGGCCUGCAUUCGAUACGGGCUGGCUUGAGUGCGGUAGGGGAGACUGGAAUUCCUGGUGUAGCGGUGAAAUGCGCAGAUAUCAGGAGGAACACCGGUGGCGAAGGCGGGUCUCUGGGCCGUAACUGACGCUGAGGAGCGAAAGCGUGGGGAGCGAACAGG